rnacentral:lncRNA from 1 species
UUUAAAUUAAAGAUCUUAAAAUAAAGAGAUUAUACUGGAUUAUCUGGUUGGGCCCUAAACCUAGUGAUGUGGUUUUAUAAGAAAUGGAAAUUUUUGAUAAUUAGCAGAAGAGGAGUCAAAGUGAAUAUGAGGCCAGAGACCAGAGUGAUGUGGCCAUAAACCAAGGGCACCAAGGAAUUCCUAGAGACAUCAGAAGCUCCAAGAAGCAAGGCAAGACUCUCCCCAGAACCUCCAGGGGGUGCAGCCCUCUGAGCAUCAUCGCAUAGGAUAUGUGGCCUCAGAACUGCAAAGGAAGCUGCCAGUUUGUGGCCGUUUGUUUGGCAGCCACAGGAAACUAAUAUAGUUUUCACAUGAUUGGUAAUUAUUCAUAAUUAGGUCAAAGUCACUGUCGUGGCUUCUUGUUGGGCAAAGGCAGGGACCACUAAUCUUCAGUACACAUUAAAAUCUCUUGGGAAGCUCUUGGAACAUGGGUCCCCAGGGCUCCAACCAUCUACCUUCAAGGUCAAAUUCUUCCCAAUUUCUAAGAAUGCAGCCUUAUAGCAAGGUGGCUGGGAUAUGCAGGGUGUUUCCCAUGGUGUGUUGUCCUAUUGAUUCCAUAGAUAGAAGGUUAGAGCCCAGCCAAGGAAUCCCUUAAAAACUCCCAAAACCUCAGGUAGAGCCCCUGCCCUGGGGAUUCCUUUAGCCUCUUGGGAAGCAAUAUCCCUUGCAUUUACUUCAGUAAUAAAAACUUUGGUACUUUUUUUAAAGCAGUAGAGAUAAGAAACCACUUUUUAAAAAUAAAACCUUUUAAAGGCCUUAAAAAGUACUAAAUACAAGGAUGGCUUGACUUUUCCAUACUCAUCACCAAUUGAAUUGACAUUUACUGGCUGUUCCUUUGUACCUGAGUUUCUGUUAGAGAAAAAAAGGAGAACAUUUAACUCAAUUCAAAAGAGAAAAGAGGAGAAGGCCCAUAUGUUUCCUAAAAUUGGAGGCUUGUUAUAGUCACUCCAUUGUGUGGAAUGCAAUUUCACUGUGACUGCAUUUGCAGCUCCCUAACUACUGAAGACACUGAGCAGCUCAGAGCAUCUUAAAGUUUGAAAGCUUUGCACUUUACAAAUUACUAGGCAAGCAACCAGAAAAGUAAUUUAUCCGUGGUGAUUGUCUUAGUUACUUUCCUUAUCACUGAGACACAAUACCCAACACCCACAACUGUAAGGAGGAGAGGUUUAUUUUGGCUUACUGUUGGUAGAGGUGUCAGUCCAUAGUCAGCCAGCUCCAAAGCAGGGCAGCAUCAUGGCAAAGGGACAUGAUGGAGGAGACUUGAUUACGGCAUGGCAGGCAAGAAGCUGAGAUAGUUCAAGGGAGGAGGAAGGGAAAUAUACCCUUCCAGGCUGCAGCAUCAGUGACCCACCUGCUCUGACUAAUCCACUGAUAAGUAUCACACCCCCAUGAUCCAAUCACAUCCAAGAAGCCCCACCUAUGAGCACAGAGAAUUUAGGGGGCCAUCCAGAUGUAAUACACAAUAGUGAUUCAGAAAUAUAGUGGCU